rnacentral:rRNA from 1 species
GACGAACGCUGGCGGCGUGCCUAAUACAUGCAAGUAGAACGCUGAAGAGAGGAGCUUGCUCUUCUUGGAUGAGUUGCGAACGGGUGAGUAACGCGUAGGUAACCUGCCUGGUAGCGGGGGAUAACUAUUGGAAACGAUAGCUAAUACCGCAUAAAAUGGAUUAUCGCAUGAUAAUCCAUUGAAAGGUGCAAAUGCAUCACUACCAGAUGGACCUGCGUUGUAUUAGCUAGUUGGUGGGGUAACGGCUCACCAAGGCGACGAUACAUAGCCGACCUGAGAGGGUGAGCGGCCACCCUGAGACUGAGACACGGCCCAGACUCCUACGGGAGGCAGCAGUAGGGAAUCUUCGGCAAUGGACGGAAGUCUGACCGAGCAACGCCGCGUGAGUGAAGAAGGUUUUCGGAUCGUAAAGCUCGGUUGUAAGAGAAGAACGAGUGUGAGAGUGGAAAGUUCACACUGUGACGGUAUCUUACCAGAAAGAAACGGCUAACUACGUG